rnacentral:rRNA from 1 species
AACGAACGCUGGCGGCAGGCCUAACACAUGCAAGUCGAGCGAGGACUUCGGUCCUAGCGGCGGACGGGUGAGUAACGCGUGGGAACGUGCCCUUUGGUUCGGAAUAGCCCCGGGAAACUGGGAGUAAUACCGGAUAAGCCCUACGGGGGAAAGAUUUAUCGCCAAAGGAUCGGCCCACGUUGGAUUAGGUAGUUGGUGGGGUAAUGGCCUACCAAGCCGACGAUCCAUAGCUGGAUUGAGAGGAUGAUCAGCCACACUGGGACUGAGACACGGCCCAGACUCCUACGGGAGGCAGCAGUGGGGAAUCUUAGACAAUGGGGGAAACCCUGAUCUAGCCAUGCCGCGUGAGCGAUGAAGGCCUUAGGGUUGUAAAGCUCUUUCAGUGGGGAAGAUAAUGACUGUACCCACAGAAGAAGCCCCGGCUAACUCCGUGCCAGCCGCCGCCGUAACAC